rnacentral:tRNA from 1 species
AUUUUCUUGGCAGAACUAAUGCAUUAGAAUUAGAAUCUAAUAAAACUUCAAUAUUAUUCUCCAUAAAUUU